rnacentral:rRNA from 1 species
CCUACGGGCGGCAGCAGUAGGGAAUAUUGCUCAAUGGGGGAAACCCUGAAGCAGCAACGCCGCGUGGAGGAUGAAGGUUUUCGGAUUGUAAACUCCUUUUGUUAGAGAAGAUAAUGACGGUAUCUAACGAAUAAGCACCGGCUAACUCAGUGCCAGCAGCCGCGGUAAUACGGAGGGUGCAAGCGUUACUCGGAAUCACUGGGCGUAAAGAGCGCGUAGGCGGGAUAGCAAGUCAGAUGUGAAAUCCUAGGGCUUAACCAUAGAACUGCAUUUGAAACUGUUAUUCUAGAGUAUGGGAGAGGUAGGUGGAAUUCUUGGUGUAGGGGUAAAAUCCGUAGAGAUCAAGAGGAAUACUCAUUGCGAAGGCGACCUGCUAGAACAUAACUGACGCUGAUGCGCGAAAGCGUGGGGAGCAAACAGGAUUAGAUACCCUUGUAGUC